GCGGAUGGAGCUCAGUUGAUAGAGUGUUUGCCUUGCAUGCAUGAGGCCCUGGGUUUGUGCCCCAGCACCCACC
rnacentral:tRNA from 1 species